CAGGUAUCACCAGACAGGUGUUAUGGUGGACAGGCGUGUUAACCCUAACCUCCUGGUUCCUCACCUGGUGGGCAGGAGGCAGGUAUCACCAGACAGGUGUUAUGGUAGACAGGUGUUAACCCUAACCUCCUGGUUCCUCACCUGGGGGGCAGGAGGCAGAUAUCACCAGACAGGUGUUAUGGUAGACAGGUGUUAACCCUAACCUCCUGGUUCCUCACCUGGGGGGCAGGAGGCAGGUAUCACCAGACAGGUGUUAUGGUAGACAGGUGUGUUAACCCUAACCUCCUGGUUCCUCACCUGGUGGGCAGGAGGCAGGUAUCACCAGACAGGUGUUAUGGUAGACAGGUGUUAACCCUAACCUCCUGGUUCCUCACCUGGGGGGCAGGAGGCAGGUAUCACCAGACAGGUGUUAACCCUAACCUCCUGGUUCCUCACCUGGUGGGCAGGAGGCAGGUAUCACCAGACAGGUGUUAUGGUAGACAGGUGUUAACCCUAACCUCCUGGUUCCUCACCUGGGGGGCAGGAGGCAGAUAUCACCAGACAGGUGUUAUGGUAGACAGGUGUUAACCCUAACCUCCUGGUUCCUCACCUGGUGGGCAGGAGGCAGGUAUCACCAGACAGGUGUUAACCCUAACCUCCUGGUUCCUCACCUGGUGGGCAGGAGGCAGGUAUCACCAGACAGGUGUUAUGGUAGACAGGUGUUAACCCUAACCUCCUGGUUCCUCACCUGGUGGGCAGGAGGCAGGUAUCACCAGACAGGUGUUAUGGUAGACAGGUGUUAACCCUAACCUCCUGGUUCCUCACCUGGUGGGCAGGAGGCAGGUAUCACCAGACAGGUGUUAUGGUAGACAGGUGUUAACCCUAACCUCCUGGUUCCUCACCUGGGGGGCAGGAGGCAGAUAUCACCAGACAGGUGUUAUGGUGGACAGGUGUGUUAACCCUAACCUCCUGGUUCCUCACCUGGGGGGCAGGAGGCAGAUAUCACCAGACAGGUGUUAUGGUAGACAGGUGUUAACCCUAACCUCCUGGUUCCUCACCUGGGGGGCAGGAGGCAGGUAUCACUAGACAGGUGUUAUGGUGGACAGGUGUGUUAACCCUAACCUCCUGGUUCCUCACCUGGGGGGCAGGAGGCAGGUAUCACUAGACAGGUGUUAUGGUGGACAGGUGUGUUAACCCUAACCUCCUGGUUCCUCACCUAGUGGGCAGGAGGCAGGUAUCACCAGACAGGUGUUAUGGUGGACAGGUGUUAACCCUAACCUCCUGGUUCCUCACCUGGGGGGCAGGAGGCAGGUAUCACCAGACAGGUGUUAUGGUAGACAGGUGUUAACCCUAACCUCCUGGUUCCUC